CCGCCCAUAGCUCAAUGGUAGAGCAGUUGCCUUUUAAGCAAUUGAUUUUGGUUCGAUUCCAAGUGGGCGGA
rnacentral:tRNA from 1 species